rnacentral:rRNA from 1 species
AUACGUAGGGGGCGAGCGUUGUCCGGAAUGAUUGGGCGUAAAGGACGCGUAGGAGGCUUUGCACGCCAGUAGUGGAAGUCCAUUUUUCAAGGAUGGAAGUGCUACAGACACUGCGGAGCUUGAGAGCCGGAGAGGUUAUCGGAAUUGCCGGAGUAGCGGGGAAAUGCGUCGAGAUCGGGAGGAAACACAGUGGCGAAGGCGGGUAACUGGACUGCAACUGACGCUGAGGCGCGAAAGUGUGGAGAGCAAACAGGAUUAGAUACCCUGGUAGUCCACACUGUAAACGAUGAAUGCUAGGUGUAGGAGGUAUCGACCCCUUCUGUGCCGCAGUAAACACAGUAAGCAUUCCGCCUGGGGAGUACGGUCGCAAGAUUAAAACUCAAAUGAAUUGGCGGGG